GGAUUCCUUAGUAGCGGCGAGCGAAGCGGGAAGAGACCAAGAUGAAAAGCCUUUCGGGGCGUUGUAGUCUGGGCAAUCUUGAGUCAUCAGUUUGGGUAAGUCGCAUGGAAUUGCGUACCGUGGAGGGUGAGAGUCCCGUCCAGCCUAAACAGGAUGUUCUCGUACUAGAUUGUUUCAACCGAGUCGGGUAGCUUGAGAAUGCUGCUCUAACUGGUGGUAAACUUCAUCAAAGUCUAAAUACUGGUGGAAGACCGAUAGCGAACAAGUACCGUGAGGGAAAGAUGGAAAGCACUUUGAAAAGAGGGUGAAAAGCACCUGAAACCGUCACGGGGGAAGCGGAUUGCGUAAGUGUGGUGUGGUGUCUGUUCAGCUGUUUUUCUUUAUUGUUCAAACAGUGUAUUCAGCACUAGCCGUGUCAGAGUGGCUGCUCGACUUCAGAUGUUUUUUUGUAUUGUGAAGUUGGGUGGUGAGGGCUCCCAUUUACUUGGUUUUGAGGACUUUGACGAAAUGACGCGACCCGACCCGUCUUGAAACACGGACCAAGGAGUCUAGCACAACUGCGAGUCGAAGGGUGUGGAAACCCAUCGGGCGAAGUGAAAGCGAAAUUGUGAACUAUUGUGUACACUACAGAUCUUGGCAAAAGAGUACAGAUUGGGGAGGUGUGGCGUCUUUGACAAUAUAUCCUACCCUGAGCAGUUGUGCUGGGACCCGAAAGAUGGUGAACUAUGCCGGAAUAGGGCAAAGCCAGAGGAAACUCUGGUGGAGGCUCGUAGCGAUGCUGACGUGCAAAUCGCUCGUCGAAUUUGGGUAUAGGGGCGAAAGACUAAUCGAACCAUCUAGUAGCUGGUUCCCUCCGAAGUUUCUCUCAGGAUAGCGGACCGAAAACUUUUUGAUCAAAAAACUAUAUAUGUUGUUUUGUGUGGUAAAGCGAAUGAUUAGCGUAUUUGGGGGCGUAAUGCCUUCAGUCGAUUCUCAAACUUUAAAUACGCAAGAAAGAGGCUGGUUGCUUGAGUGAACCCCUCUCUGAAAACUUCGGUCUUGUGGGCCACUUUUGGUAAGCAGAACUGGCGAUACGGGAUGAACCGUAAGCGUGGUUAAGGCGUCAAAUUGUUCGCUUAGAGACCCCACAAAAGGUGUUGAUUCAUCUAGACAGCAGGACGGUGGCCAUGAAGUCGAAUCCGCAAGGAGGGGGGCCAUGGAAGUCGGAAUCCGCUAAGGAGUGUGUAACAACUCACCUGCCGAAUGAAUUAGCCCUGAAAAUGGAUGACGCUGAAGCGUACAGCCGACACCGCGCCGUUUGGGCAAAAAGCGACCCUAAUGAGUAGGAGGGCGUGGCGGUCUUGUGAAAAAGGUCGAGACGCGAGUCUGACUGGAACGGCCGCUAGUGCAGAUCUUGGUGGUAGUAGCAAAUAUUCAAGCGAGACCCUUGAAGGGCGAAGCGGGGAAGGGUUCCACGCGAACAUUGAUUGGGCGUGGGUGAGUCGUUCCUAAGCCGGGUGGUAAUCGUUCUUCGAAGCGGCGAAAGGGAAGCGGGUUAAAAUUCCUGCACACGGAUGUGGAGGCGGCAACGCAAAUUGAGUUGGAGACAUCAGCGGUAGCGCUAGGCAGAGUUUUCUUUUCUGUUUGACCUGUGAGUUGCACUGUGUGGAAUCCGAUUAUCGGGAGAAACACGCGCCGAAGGGCAGAGCGUCGGGGCUUUCCCGGCGUCUAGCACGCUACCGAGGGUCCUUGAAAAUCCAACUGCAAUAUAUUUAAUUUCACGCCGUGGCGUACCGAUAACCGCAUCAGGUCCCCAAGGUGAACAGCCUCUGCUCAAUAUGAACAAUGCAGGUAAGGGAAGUCGGCAAAAUAGACCCGUAACUUUGGGAAAAGGGUUGGCUCUAGUGGAGUGGGGGACUUGGGAUUCCGAGAUUUUGUGUUUCGGCGAUUCUGAAUUAAUUGGGUGUUGGUGCUCUGAGCUAUCGCAGGUCCGGAUGUGGCUAGUCUGUGUAAAAACGGUAUUGGCUGUGUCUGACUCGCUUUGGUUCUGGGGCGCCAGUGUCCGCCUUCAGCAUGCUCCAGACUAGAACUGCAACGGGCAAAGGGAAUCCGACUGUUUAAUUAAAACAAAGCAUUGCGAUGGCCGAGGUCGGUGUUUGCAACGGGCAAAGGGAAUCCGACUGUUUAAUUAAAUCAAAGCAUUGCGAUGGCCGAGGUCGGUGUAGACGCAAUGUGAUUUCUGCUCAGUGCUCUGAAUGUCAAAGUGAAGAAAUUCAAACAAGCGCGGGUAAACAGCGGGAGUAACUAUGACUCUCUUAAGGUAGCCAAAUGCCUCGUCAUCUAAUUAGUGACGCGCAUGAAUGGAUUAACGAGAUUCCUACUGUCCCUAUCUGCUUCUAGCGAAACCACAGCCGAGGGAACGGGCUCGGCGAAAUCGGCGGGGAAAGAAGACCCUGUUGAGCUUGACUCUAUUCUAAUUUUGUGACGCAAGUUAGGAGGUGUAGCAUAGGUGGGAGCUUUCGGGCGACAAUGAAAUACCACUACUCUUAAUCUUGUUUUACUUAUGGCGUUAGACUGCACGACCUGAAUUUGGUCUUUUUUGGCAUCAACCUGGAGUCCUGGCGUGAAGUGGCUUUCUUUUCUCUCCUUCUUUUUUGAGGCAGAAAAAAAGAAAAGGCUGUUUUGCGUCACCGGGGAGCAGCGCGCCUGACACAUUUAGGAGGGGAGUUUGGCUGGGGCGGCACAUCUUCUACAAGACAACGAAGGUGUCCAAAGAUGAGCUCAGUGAGAACAGAAAUCUCACGUAGCGCAAAAGGGUAAAAGCUUGUUUGAUUUUGAUUUUCAGUGUGAGUUGAAAACACGAAAGUGUGGCCUAUCGAUCCUUUCAUGAUUCGAGGUUUGAAGCGAGA
rnacentral:rRNA from 1 species